rnacentral:lncRNA from 1 species
AAGCGCCAUGGUCAACGCAGCAGUCAGAGUGGUUUUCCCAUGGUCAACGUGCCCAAUUGUGCCUAUAUUGAUAUGGGGUUUCUUCCUUUCGAAUUUCCCACGCGCUGCGCGUACGGUCAGCCUGGUGGCGCGUGAGCGAAACGGGGAGGUGGGUGUUUGAAAUUGGGAGGACAACGUUGAUGGGUUGGCGAGAAAAGAGGAGGUGAGGAUAAAUUUCCGUGAACUUGUCGGAGAAAAGGCGGAAUUAGGGUUAGGGUUUGCAGGGUUUAUGAGGUUUAUAGAAGAAGAUAGAGCUGAAAUCGCCAUUUUUGCUUCCAGCAAACAAGAGGGGUUUGGAGAAUUUUGGGAGAGAUGAGAUAAUAACAAGGAGAUUGUGUGUUUUGUGUGAGUGUGUGUUCUCCUUUAUCUAUCUACAACACAACAUUUUGUAUCUAUAGUCUGUAGAGAUACAAUUUCUAACCUCAUAUCUCACCCUAUCCACUUUCACAAUUUCAAGAUAACAUUUUCAUUUUUACUGUUUUUCUAAAAUUAAAUAAAUAAAUUACAAAAAAAAAAUAAACAAACAAGAGAUUUGGGAAGAGUUUGCUAUGUGUUCAGAGUGAAUUUAUGGUUUGUAGAAAUUUUCAUUAUAAAUAUUUAUUUUUCUACUCCAAGUGUUCAUGAAAGGCACUAGUUGAUUUCUAAAUGCUUUGGUUUUUUAAGUUGUUUGUGACAUGUUCUUUGAUGUUUCAGUUUUGCUAAAUCUCUGGCUCUCUUGGAAAUUUUUGUGGUUGUUGAAGUGCAUUUGUGUCGCUCUGUAAACUACAUGCUACUCCAACCAACAAGUGAAAUUAUAUCUGAUAAAGCCAUCAAAUCCCAAAAAUAAAUUUUUUGUAAUCAAUACUUCUGCAGAGAAUAUUGGAUACAACUUGAUAUAACUCUAUAAAGCUCGUAUUGAUUCAUUUAAAUAAGAUCAUGGUGCAGAUAAUGACAUUAUUGUGAGCCGGUGAACCAUUUCAUAGCAAUCUGCCUUGCCACCCGAAAGACUGAAUCCAGUUCUGUACCUCCUGGAGGCACACAUCUAACUUGUUCUUAAGCGGAUUCAGUCUAUCCCUAAGAUAGUAGAGUUUAGCCCUCCUCACUUUCUUCUUGUCCAGCACCUUUAUCUCCUUUAUAUUAGGCGAAUACCUGCACCAGACACCCUAUUUGGUCACCAAGUGCAGGAAUGUCAAAGAAAAGAUGUAAUCAAAGCACAGAACCAAAAUCCUUAAGUGCUUUUAAUUAUUAUGUGAACAGGUUCACAUAAUCAAGCAAAAGACUUGCAGCAACAAGCAUGUCCAAGUAAAUAUACAAUCAGUAAUGUAUUAAUCUUUGAAGGUGAGAGGCCAUAUCUAACUUUGUAAAUUGAAUUGUACAUCAAGUAUAUUUAAACAGAACAGCUAGUACUUGGUAACUAGAAGACUAUCACUUUCAAAAAACUGGUACACCUCAUGAUAUAUGUUACAGUUCAUCGAGUUCUUUUGUAACCAACUCUUAACAUGACAAUAUCACUAAGUUCUGUCAAUUCACAAGAUACGAUGAAAGGCAAGAAGAGUAGUUGCAUUGUAGAUGCUGUAAGAUGAUAAAUUAAUUCAAGGGUCACAGAAUAGUCUCGCUUAGCAGCAAUUCGCCAUAUUUCAUUUGUUAUUACUAUUACAUAUACACCACCAGAGUUGAGCAUGAGCAAGUAAGAAUUUUAACACUGAGAGGAGAAAAAACGUAUUUCAGUGGACUAAAGCUAAUAAAUAUUCAUAGAGAGAAGUUCUGCAUGAGUAGGUUUCACCUUAUAAGAACUCUCGCAAACCAUUAUAUUGUGUUUGGUUGGAUAAUUUGGAAUGGACUGGAUGAUGGAUUGAAUUAAAGGGAAGUAAUGGAGGAAGGACGCAAGAUUUGAAAAUAAGAUAAUUCACUGUUAUGAGAUUUGGGAAGAGAACAGGGAUGAGGGAAACAGCUUCCAGAUAGACUGAAAACUUUUGCAACCUUUUGAAAAGCAUUUAUAUUAACUAAAUAACUAAUAGCACUGAAGAAGCCAUCUGCAGUAUAACAGAAUUCAUAUACACCACUUACCUAGACACACAGAGCAACUCAAGUCAUCGAAAAUAAUACAAGAAAGUCCGCGGCAGCCCCAGAAAAGCAGACAAGCAUACUGUAUUUUCAUAAUAUAGCCAGCCAUUAUAAAGUCAUCCAUGUAUAGAUUAUACAGCUGAACAGAAUCCCACAAUAACAAAGAAGGGCAUGUAUAUCAUUAUUUGUGAGCAAAUUGCAAUGAAACUGUGACAUCCAAAAUAUUUCAGUAACAGUUAUGCAUACAAAUUAUUAGUUAAUUCUUGCUGAAGUUGAGAUUGGAUACCAUGGACCCAUGAUCAAAACAGAAGUAACAAUAAGUAGACAGAUUUCUAUGAGGCAAAUCACAAUGUGAAGUAGUACAGAUAAUCAUUAAAUGCCAUUUGCAGUUGCAGAUAUACCGGUGACUUGUUGAAUAUGUAGCUAAGCAAGUGAUUUUAUGUUCAAUACACUCCUGAUCUAUAACUUCUCCACGGAGAAUAGUUGUAGAACUACAUAACUUUUAAGAGAGCAGCAUCAGCAUCUCAAGUAGAGCCGGCCAAACGGGCGGGCCGUGCCGGUUCGGGCCGGUUCAAACGGGUUCCGAACCGUCAUCGGUGGAACCGUAACCGGCCCGUCAAACUGGCGGUCCGUGCCGUGCCCGGGCCGGGCUGGGAAAAAGAAAGUCGUAACCGUGAUAUACGGUUUACACGGGUUUUGCGGUUCAGCGGUUCGGGCCGAAUAAUAACAUGCUGCGGUUCUACGGUUCGGUUAUACGGUUCACGGGUUUGCGCAUGUGACUUUGUGUUAGUAACUAAAGUACAACAGUUGUCAGUGGCUGAAUCACUGUCAAGUCCAACAGAGACACAUAGUACUUGUUUUAUUUUUUGUUUCUUUUUUGUUUUUUUUGCCGGUUUAUUUUUGUUUUUAUUUUUUUUAAUUUAGUUUAAGUAUUAUUAUGUAACUAAUUAAGAGAUCGUAAAUUUAUGGAUUAAGUAUUAUUAUGCAACUAAUUAAUAAAUUAAUGGGUUAAGUAUUAUUAUGUAACUAAUUUUAACAAUUCUUUAAUGUUAAAAAUUGGAUAAUAAAGUUUUAUAUGAUAUUAGUUUUGGAAAUUAUUUUUGUUUAGUGUUAUUAUGUAAUUAAUUAUCAAUAAAGUGUAAACUAAUAAAUAAUUACCUAAUUUUAAAAACUUAUCCGAAAUAAAACUAAUUAAAUUAUUUUUAAAAAUAAAAUUACCUAAAUUUAAAAACUGCACCGAAACAAAAUUAAUUAAUUCUUUUGCAAAUAAAAUUACUGAAAUUUAAAAACUAAAACGACACGAAAUAAAAUUAAGUAAUUUUUUUAUAUAGUAAACGAAAAUAAACUAAACUAACUAAACAACAACUAAAAUUAACAAAAUAAAACAAAAACUAACAAAUUAAAACUCAUGCAAAAAGAACAGAAAGCAUUGUGAAGUUUGCUGAUGGACUAAAAAUUGGUGGUCGAUGCACGAGUCUACGGUUCCGCGGUUCCGCGGUUCAAACCGCGGUUCCGCGGUUCAAACCAGGCCGGUUCCACGGGUUUCCGCGGUUCCGGGCCGGUUACGGUUCGGUCUUCCAUUUCCUAACCCGUAUUCGGCACGUGCUCAGUAUCGGUUCAGGUCGGUUUUGAACCGGCCCGUGUUUAGACGGUUACGGGCGGUUAAAAAGUCGGUUCGGGGCGUGCCGGUUCGGUCGGUUCGGCCCGUUUGGCCACCUCUAAUCUCAAGUAGCUAAGCAACAUUAAUAAGGGUGACACUAAGAAAGAAAGUCAAAACAAAUUAAUUUGAACAUGAGAUAGUACAAUCCAACUAAAAGGAGAGCUAAGAAAUUUAGAACCAAACUCGUUGCUGCAUAUGUAACAUUGGAUUCAGCAUGUUUAAGAGACAAGGGGCAAAACUAUUUUAAAAAAGAAAAAAGACAAAAGAUUGAAACUUUGAAUCACCCAAAAGUGAAGGCCAUCCCACCAAGUUCAAUCACUCAAUAAUGGCAUUAAUAACUCCAGCACCAACAGUCUUUCCUCCUUCUCUAAUAGCAAACCUCAUUCCUUGCUCACAAGCAAUCGGCACAAUAAGCUCCACAACCAUCUUCACACGGUCACCAGGCAUAACCAUUUUCGACUCUUCAUCCUUCUCAUUCUUAAUAGUAGUCACUUUCCCAGUGACAUCUGUAGUUCUCAUGUAAAACUGAGGCCUGUAUCCAGUGAAAAAAGGUGAAUGCCUCCCACCUUCAUCCUUCUUCAAAAUAUAUACAAUCGCCUCAAACUUUGUAUGAGGUGUAAUCGAUCCAGGCUUAGCCAAAACCAUCCCUCUCUGGAUAUCAAUCUUCUGAAUACCUCUUAACAACAACCCGACAUUAUCACCAGCCAAAGCCUCAUCAAGAAACUUCUGAAACAUUUCAACUCCAGUCACUGUUGUACCCCUAGUAUCCUUCAACCCCACAAUAUCAACGGUCUCCCCAACCUUAAUCGUCCCUCUCUCAACACGACCAGUGGCAACAGUCCCACGUCCCGUGAUCGAAAAAACAUCCUCAAUUGCCAUUAAGAAGGGCAACUCAGUCUGCCUCUGUGGAAUAGGAAUAUAACUAUCAACAUUAUCCAUCAAAGCAUAAAUCUUGUCAACCCACUCAUUGUCCCCUCUCUUAAUCGCGGGAUUCUCCAUCAGUGCUUCCAAUGCCAACAAUGCUGAUCCUGACACAAUUGGAAUAUCAUCCCCUGGAAACUCAUACUUAUUCAAUUCCUCCCUAACCUCCAACUCCACAAGCUCCAAAAGCUCGGCAUCAUCAACCUGAUCCUCUUUAUUCAAGAAAACAACCAUAUUCGGAACCCCCACUUGUUUCGCCAACAAAAUGUGUUCUUUAGUCUGUGGCAUUGGCCCAUCAGCACCCGAAACCACUAAAAUCGCUCCGUCCAUCUGCGCAGCCCCUGUAAUCAUAUUCUUGACAUAAUCAGCAUGCCCUGGACAAUCCACAUGAGCAUAAUGCCUACUCUCAGUCUCAUACUCAACAGUAGCUGUAUUAAUAGUAAUCCCACGCGCUCUCUCCUCAGGAGCAGCAUCAAUUUCAUCGUACUUCUUGGGUGCAGACCCUCCCAUAGCAGCAAGCGCCAUGGUCAACGCAGCAGUCAGAGUGGUUUUCCCAUGGUCAACGUGCCCAAUUGUGCCUAUAUUGAUAUGGGGUUUCUUCCUUUCGAAUUUCCCACGCGCUGCGCGUACGGUCAGCCUGGUGGCGCGUGAGCGAAACGGGGAGGUGGGUGUUUGAAAUUGGGAGGACAACGUUGAUGGGUUGGCGAGAAAAGAGGAGGUGAGGAUAAAUUUCCGUGAACUUGUCGGAGAAAAGGCGGAAUUAGGGUUAGGGUUUGCAGGGUUUAUGAGGUUUAUAGAAGAAGAAGAUAGAGCUGAAAUCGCCAUUUUUGCUUUAAGCAAACAAGAGGGGUUCGGAGAAUUUUGGGAGAGAUGAGAUAAUAACAAGGAGAUUGUGUGUUUUGUGUGAGUGAGUG